rnacentral:lncRNA from 1 species
GAAACAGCUGAGUCAUCUAAGUGUAAAGCCCUGACAGAGUUAUCAGUAAGCCUGCAGUACAAGCUCACACACACUCAACAGAAGAAUGUUAAAUCCAAGUAGUCAGAGCAUGAAAUGACUACCUCCUGCACUUUGUUAAUGACACUGUCACCCAAUGCGUUGCCCAGCAACACAUCCGUGAGUGUGUUGAUGUGUGAGCUGGCCGCAGUAAUAUCAGGGACGUGCAGGCCGCAGGAGGGAGAAACAUGCAGGACUGUCGUUAUUUGAAGAGAGAGCCUAUGUCAUUCUGGCCAAGGAAUCACCCAGUCAUGUUUCCACACCUCCAAACCAAUCACUGGAGCAAAAUGAAAACGACAGUGCCAGGAUAUCUCACAUCCUUUCCAGCUGCCUUGUUGAAGGACACAGUGAGUGCAUCACUAGAAUGUAACUCUACUCUUAAUGGCACCACCAGGAGCUUACCACCCCUCACCAACUCUGCUGCUAAUGAUCAUGUUUCCUCUGUGCAGCGAGCACGCUGUACGUACACAUUAGACCGUAAGUCAAACUGUUCAAUCCUGUAUUGUUUGCUAAAUUCACAUUUGUUAUCAGGCUCAACUAAACCUGCCCUCUCACCUCAAAACGUGCCCCAGUACAGAAACGUGUACAACGACAGGGCCAGGAGGGGCUUCUGUUAUUGGCUCGUGGAGAGGAAACAUUCAACAUGUGAGUGCUGAUCCAAGCAGCUAUUACUGCAUAUCAUCACCUAUGGUUCACCUAUGAUUCACCCAUGUAUAGGUUUAUCACAUUCAUGCAGAUGUGACCAGUUUGAUCUCCAGGAAGCAGCAGAUUUUAGGCAGGAAAAUGAGUAAUUUGAACAUUAUUGUGCCCUUGUUUAUCCAAACAAGUGACAUACAUAUAUCUGUCCCUGCAGUAUCCUCACUAUACAUUUAAAAUACGUUUUUAUUUAAUUUGGGACAAUGGUUUGAAUAAUUACAGAAAAAUUUCAAAUUAGGGUUUUUUUUUGUUGUUGUUUUUUUUAAGCAACUUGAGAUUUAAAAAAAAAAAAGACUGCCUUCAUGUGAUAUAAGCACGAGAAAAGAGGAGUUUCAUUGCAUUUGUUUAACUGCAGGGACUGUAUAUCUACAACUGAAUUAGUUGGUCAUUUACAC